GAAGGGUGCAAAUUCACAAUCACUCAUUCAAAUGAAAACAUCGUUCGAGCGGUCGCCCACUCAAGCAGAGCGACCCGCCACAUGUUCUUUCCCGCGUGCCCCCUCCCGCUCCCUCCUACCCCGCGACGGCCACUUCCUGCCAACUCGCCGCUAACGACGUUCUUCCGCACGGCAGCGCAGGGACGUCGCGCUCGGAGCCAAAAACAAGUUUGAAACAUUCCGCAUGCUCGCUUCCCCCCGUGACGCUUGCCAGACAAAAAAUGUAAAAAAAUGUUCAGCAAGCCAGGAAGCAAAUCAGGAAAGACGGGAAGCAAUGAGGGAGUCAAGGAAUUAAGGAAGCGUGUGAAGCAGACGAGGAGGUACAGAAAUGAAGGACGCAUCUGAAGCAAAUGAGGAGGCGCAUGAAGCAAAUCAAGGAAGCUUGAGAAGCAAACGAGGACGCAAAUUAAGGAAGCUUGAUUAGCAAACAAAGAAGCACAGGAGGCAAACGAAGAAAACAAGGAAGUAAAAGGAAGCCGUUCAGUAUAUCAAGCCAAUGAAUCAAACAAGGAAGCGAGCAAGUUAAGGAAGCUCGUGAAUUAAACGAACGAGCUUGAAGCAUGGAGACAUUCCAUGAAUGAGGUUCGGCGGCCUCGGAAUUGCAUCUCGGCUUUUUGCGGGCGAUGCGGUUCUGUUGGCUUCAUCGAGCCGUGAUCUCCAACGCUCACCGGAGCGGUUCGCAGCCGAGUGCGAAGCGGCCGGGAUGAGAAUCGGCACCUCCGAAUCGGAGACCGCGGUCCUCGGUCGGACGAGGGCGGCGUGCCCUCUCCGGGUCGGGGAUGAGAUCCCGCCCCCGGCGGAGGAGUUCAAGUAUCUCGGGGUCUCGUUCACGAGCGAGGGGAGAACGGAACGGGAGAUCGACGGGCGGAUCGGUGCGGCGUCUGCAGCGAUGCGGACUCAAUUUACCGGUCGAUCUACGUUCCUAACCUAAGAUCCCGGAUACGAGCGGCCGAAAUGAGUUUCCUCCGCAGUGUGUCCGGGCUCUCCCUUAGAGAACGGGCGAGAAGCUCGGUCGUCCGGGAGGAUCUCAGAGCAGAGCCGCUGCUCCUCCGCAUCGAGAGGAGCCAGAUGAGGCGGCCGGGGCAUCUGAUUCGGAUGCCUCCCGGACGCCUCCCCGGUGAGGUGUUCCGGGCGCGUCCCGCCGGGAGGAGACCCCGGGGACGACCCGGGACACGCCGGAGAGACUACGUCUUUCGGGCGUCCCGGGAACGCCUCGGGAUCCCCCCGGGAGAGCCGGACGAAGUGGUAAGCGCUAGAAAACGGAUGGAUAUUUUUAUUUGACAGAAACGCAUCGUGACCUCCUGUACGAUAUUUGGGCGUGUGCGUGCACGCGCGUACUUGACGAGGCGGGGCGGGUGGUCGUCGACGGGCAGCACGACGACCGCGGCGGUGGCGCCGAGCGAGUGGACGCCGUCGGUCAGUCGCAGAGUCAGCCGGUCCUCCGAGGUCUCCGAGCCGUCGUGCGCGUACCAUAACGUCAGGCCUAGAAAAAACACUUCAGAUUCAUCUGCAACAUCGCAUGCUCAGAAUGGAAAAUGGACAAUUAUAUAUAUAUAUAUAUAUAUAUAUAUAUAUAUAUAUAUAUAUACUGAUUUCUACUUCCUACUUGAGGAAUGUGAGCGUGUCGUGAUUGGUGCGUGUGGCAGGAAGGGGCGGGGCAUACCCUGUCGCAGCUCCUGCAGGGUGAAAGAGGUGACGCUGACAAGCGAAGCGCUCGAUCCUUCGGGAGGACGGAAGGCGCUCGCCUUCAGGCUGCCGUGCGCCGGCGCCCCCGUCAGGCUGAAGGUCAACACGUCCGGGGGGGCAUCCAGGUCGGAGGCAUCCAGGAGGGUGCGGGUCAGCUCCCGUGUGCCCCCCUCCUUCACCUGAACACCACGCCCCUGUUAAUAUGGCCAGGAAGCCGUGCAGAGGUUUGGUGUCCAGGUGAAACGUCAGCCGGUCGGGGGGGCUGUCGGGGUCCGAGGCCCCCAGGACACCUCCGCACAGACACGCCCGGGAACCCUCGUCCACCACCAUCAUGGACGCUCCUGAAGAAGUAGCGUGACGUUGAGAUCGUACACAGGAAGUGUGCCGUGCAGCGGGACCGGCGGAGCAUCGCCGUGGCAACAGCCGUCCGUCCCCCCCGCGUCGCCGUCGGAGAUGAUGAGCGUGACGGCGUCGGAGGCAGGAGCCGGGCCGAUCUCGCCACCUGAACGCAACGACAGGAAGCUUCGCCGUCGACACCAGCCCGGUUUCUUGUAUGGCAGCGGCUAAGCUACCAUGUGUUAGCUGAGCAACGUUAGCCAAUGUUAGUUUGACAAUGUAGGGCAGGUGUGUUGGCUUAGCACAGUCUUUACAGACUUUUAUUGAGGCAAGACACCUAUUUUAGAUGAGACAAUGGAGCUUGAGUGUGUUAACUUAGCAAUGUUUGCCAAAGUUAGCAUCACAGUGCAGGUAUGGUGUCUUAGCUUAGCAAUUGUAGUAUGAUGGUAUAGGGAAGGUGUAUUAUCUUAGAAGCAUUUGCCAAAGUUAGUGUGCAGCUAUAGCUCAAGUGUGUUACCAUAGGAAUGUUAGCCAAAAUUAACAGGACUAUCUAAUUCCGGGAGAAACGGUAGCUGAUGUUAUACUGGUGUGUAAGCGUAACAAUGUUAUCCAAAGUUAGCCUGAUGCCGUAACACUGGUGUGUUAACCUAGCAACGUUAGCCAAAGUUAGCGUGAGGAUGUAGCUCAAGUGUGUUAGGUUCGCAAUAUAAGUAAAAGUAAGCCUGAUGUGUUAGCGUAGCAACAUUAGCCAAAGUUAGCGUGAUGUUGUAGCUAAAGUGUUAGCUUGGAAAUAUUAGCCAAGGCUGCAUUUUCAAUAAACAUCGGAAUAAUUAAAAAAAUAAAAGAUAAGCAGAGGGAGUAUUUCAAACUCCCUUGUUGCACAGCAAAACUGUUCCAGCACAAAAGGCAUACAGAUCCAGCAUUCUGCAUGGUCAUGCAGCGGAACAGCUUAAAGAAGAAAAUAUAUUAGCCAAAGUUAGCCUGAUGAUGCACCUCAUGCGUGUUAGCUUAGGAACAUUAGCCAAAGUUAGCCUGAUGGCAUAACUCUGGUGUGUUAGCUUAGCAAUAUUAUCCAAAGUUAGCGUGACAGUGUAGGUCAGUUGUGUUAGCUUAGCAACAACAGCCAAACUUAGUGUGACUAUGUAGCUCGUUUGUUAUCUUAGCAAUGUUAGCCAAAGUUAGCAUGAUGAUGUAGCUCAUGUGUGUUAGCUAAGCAACAUUAGCCAAAGUUCACCUGAUGAUGUCGCUCUGGUGUAUUAGCUUAGAAAUGAGCAAAAGCAUGACGAUGUAGCUCAAAUGGGUUAGCUUAGACACAUUAGCCAAAGUUAGCAUGAUGUUGUAGCUCUGGUCUAUUAGCGUAGAAAUGAGCCCAAGUACGCAUGACUGUGUAGCUCAAAUGUGUUAGCUUAGCAACAUUAGCCAAAGUUAGCCUGAUGCCAUCACUUUGGUGUGUUACCUUAGCAACAUUAGCUAAUGUUAGCAUUUAGCAUUAGCAAGCUGAAAUAAUGCCGCCUCACCCGUGUGCACAUAGAAGACAUGACCCUGCAGGAGGUCCUGCUGCGAGAACUUGUCCACGGGAAUUCCUGCCCUCUGCAGCUCCCCCCUUGCGGGCCGCCGCGCUAGCAUGUAGCUCAGCUUAGCGUCGUCGCUGUCCCGGUCGGUGGCCGCCAGGUAGUCGGCCGUCACCUGGACGCGGCCCCCCUCCGGGCAGCGCAGGUCGCCGCGCAGGCCGCCGCCUAGCUGGGGGGGCUCGUCAUUCACAGGCAGAACCUGAGGGCGGCCCGUGUGCGUGCAAAAGGAGUCAAGGGCAAAAGGUGAUCUGUCACUAUGAUUGUCUGGGGUUGAAUUUGAAUUUCUGAGGUUGAAUUAAAAUUUGUCAGUUCCAAUUUGAAUUUCAAUUUCUAACUUGGUAUUUUUUCUAAAGGCAACCUAUCCUUCCCUUGUCAG